UACAGAGGGGGCAAGCGUUGUCCGGAUUUACUGGGCGUAAAGAGCGCGCAGGCGGUCGUACAAGUCGCGUGUGAAAGCCCCCGGCUCAACUGGGGAGGGUCACGCGAUACUGUUCGACUCGAAGGCAGGAGAGGGAAGUGGAAUUCCCCGGUGUAGUGGUGAAAUGCGUAGAUAGUCGGAAGGAACGCCGGUGGCGAAAGCGGCGCACUGGAUCUCAUCUGACGCUGAGGCGCGAAAGCCAGGGGAGCGAACGGG
rnacentral:rRNA from 1 species